UACGUAAGGGGCAAGCGUUGUCCGGAUUUAUUGGGCGUAAAGAGCGUGUAGGCGGCCAUACAGGUCAGCUGUGAAAACUCGAGGCUCAACCUCGAGACGUCGGUUGAAACCGUAUGGCUAGAGUCCGGAAGAGGAGAGUGGAAUUCCCGGUGUAGCGGUGAAAUGCGCAGAUAUCGGGAAGAACACCCGUGGCGAAGGCGGCUAUCUGGGAGGGUACUGACGCUGAGACGCGAAAGCGUGGGGAGUGAACAGG
rnacentral:rRNA from 1 species